UCCCUGGUGGUCCAGUGGUAAGGACUCUGCACUUCCACUGUAGGGGGCAAGAGUUCAGUCCCUGGUCAGGGAA
rnacentral:tRNA from 1 species